rnacentral:rRNA from 1 species
CGAGGAAUCUUGGGCAAUGGGCGAAAGCCUGACCCAGCGACGCCGCGUGAGGGAUGAAGGCCUUCGGGUCGUAAACCUCUUUUAUGGGAGAAGAAGUUCUGACGGUAUCCCAUGAAUAAGCCACGGCUAACUACGUGCCAGCAGCCGCGGUAAUACGUAGGUGGCAAGCGUUGUCCGGAUUUACUGGGCGUAAAGGGCUUGUAGGCGGUUCGUUAAGUCCGGUGUGAAAUCUCCCGGCUCAACCGGGAUAGGUCACUGGAUACUGGCGAACUAGAGGGGGGUAGAGGAGAGCAGAAUUCCUGGUGUAGCGGUGAAAUGCGUAGAUAUCAGGAGGAAUACCAGUGGCGAAGGCGGCUCUCUGGGCCUACCCUGACGCUGAGGAGCGAAAGCGUGGGGAGCAAACCGGAUUAGAUACCCGGGUAGUCCACGCCCUAAACGGUGGAUGCUAGGUGUGGGGGGUGUCGACCCCCUCCGUGCCGCAGCUAACGCUUUAAGCAUCCCGCCUGGGGAGUACGGCCGCAA